UGCUCCUUUGACGUUAGCGGCGGACGGGUGAGUAACACGUGGGUAACCUACCUAUAAGACUGGGAUAACUUCGGGAAACCGGAGCUAAUACCGGAUAACAUUUGGAACCGCAUGGUUCUAAAGUGAAAGAUGGUUUUGCUAUCACUUAUAGAUGGACCCGCGCCGUAUUAGCUAGUUGGUAAGGUAACGGCUUACCAAGGCGACGAUACGUAGCCGACCUGAGAGGGUGAUCGGCCACACUGGAACUGAGACACGGUCCAGACUCCUACGGGAGGCAGCAGUAGGGAAUCUUCCGCAAUGGGCGAAAGCCUGACGGAGCAACGCCGCGUGAGUGAUGAAGGGUUUCGGCUCGUAAAACUCUGUUAUUAGGGAAGAACAAACGUGUAAGUAACUGUGCACGUCUUGACGGUACCUAAUCAGAAAGCCACGGCUAACUACGUGCCAGCAGCCGCGGUAAUACGUAGGUGGCAAGCGUUAUCCGGAAUUAUUGGGCGUAAAGCGCGCGUAGGCGGUUUCUUAAGUCUGAUGUGAAAGCCCACGGCUCAACCGUG
rnacentral:rRNA from 1 species